rnacentral:rRNA from 1 species
UACGUAGGGGGCAAGCGUUGUCCGGAUUUAUUGGGCGUAAAGAGCGUGUAGGCGGCUUUGCAAGUCCGUUGUGAAAACUCGAGGCUCAACCUCGAGACGCCGGUGGAAACUGCAAAGCUAGAGUCCGGAAGAGGAGAGUGGAAUUCCUGGUGUAGCGGUGAAAUGCGCAGAUAUCGGGAGGAACACCUAUGGCGAAGGCAGCUCGCUGGGACGUUACUGACGCUGAGACGCGAAAGCGUGGGGAGCAAACAGG